rnacentral:rRNA from 7 species
CUAGUCUUAUCGGUGGAUCACUCGGCUCGUGGAUCGAUGAAGAACGCAGCCAACUGCGAUAAUUAGUGUGAACUGCAGAAACCUUGAACACAGAACUUUCGAAUGCACAUUGCGCCAUUGGAGUGACAUCCAUUGGCACGCCUGGUUCAGGGUCGUAAC